AGAGUUUGAUCCUGGCUCAGAACGUACGCUGGCGGCACGCCUAACACAUGCAAGUCGAACGAAGUAGCAAUACUUAGUGGCAGACGGGUGAGUAACAUGUGGGUAUCUGCCCUUUGGCCUGGAAUAACACGAGGAAACUUGUGCUAAUACCGGAUAAGUCUUUACGGAGAAAGCUUUAUGCACCAUUGGAUGAGCCCGCACUUGAUUAGUUUGUUGGUGGGGUAAUGGCCUACCAAGACUGUGAUCAAUAGCUGAUUUGAGAGGAUGAUCAGCCACAUUGGGACUGAGACACGGCCCAAACUCCUACGGGAGGCAGCAGUGGGGAAUCUUGCACAAUGGAGGAAACUCUGAUGCAGCGAUGCCGCGUGAGUGAAGAAGGCCUUUGGGUUGUAAAGCUCUUUCGUCGGGGAAGAAAAUGACUGUACCCGAAUAAGAAGGUCCGGCUAACUUCGUGCCAGCAGCCGCGGUAAUACGAAGGGACCUAGCGUAGUUCGGAAUUACUGGGCUUAAAGAGUUCGUAGGUGGUUGAAAAAGUUGGUGGUGAAAUCCCAGAGCUUAACUCUGGAACUGCCAUCAAAACUUUUCAGCUAGAGUUUGAUAGAGGAAAGCAGAAUUUCUAGUGUAGAGGUGAAAUUCGUAGAUAUUAGAAAGAAUACCAAUUGCGAAGGCAGCUUUCUGGAUCAUUACUGACACUGAGGAACGAAAGCAUGGGUAGCGAAGAGGAUUAGAUACCCUCGUAGUCCAUGCCGUAAACGAUGUGUGUUAGACGUUGGAAAUUUAUUUUCAGUGUCGCAGCGAAAGCGAUAAACACACCGCCUGGGGAGUACGACCGCAAGGUUAAAACUCAAAUGAAUUGACGGGGACCCGCACAAGUAGUGGAGCAUGUGGUUUAAUUCGAAGAUACGCGCAGAACCUUACCAACACUUGACAUGUUCGUCGCGACUUUAAGAGAUUAAAGUUUUCGGUUCGGCCGGACGAAACACAGGUGCUGCAUGGCUGUCGUCAGCUCGUGUCGUGAGAUGUUGGGUUAAGUCCCGCAACGAGCGCAACCCUCACUUUUAGUUGCCAUCAUUUAGUUGGGCACUCUGAAAGAACUGCCAGUGAUAAGCUGGAGGAAGGUGGGGAUGACGUCAAGUCCUCAUGGCCCUUACGUGUUGGGCUACACACGUGCUACAAUGGUAUCUACAACAGGAAGCAAAACAGCGAUGUUAAGCAAAUCCUUAAAAGAUACCUCAGUUCGGAUUGCACUCUGCAACUCGAGUGCAUGAAGCUGGAAUUACUAGUAAUCGUGGAUCAGCGUGCCACGGUGAAUGCGUUCCCGGGUCUUGUACACACCGCCCGUCACACCAUGGGAGUUGGUUCUACCUUAAGGCAAGGUUUAAUACCCUUGACCACGGUAUAGUCAGCGACUGGGGUGAAGUCGUAACAAGGUA
rnacentral:rRNA from 1 species